UCAGAUUCCUCGGGGUGCUAAGGAUGUUUAAUCCAAGGCUGAGAUAAUACCCGUAGAACCUGAACAGGGUAAUGCCUGCGCAGGGAAGGUGGUUCACAUAUUU
rnacentral:ncRNA from 2 species